GAAAUCUAAAAAAAAUAUUCAGGUUAUCCUGCAGUCACUCUUUAUUCAGAAAAUCUGCAUACUACUAUGCUGACUUCUAAAUCUUAUUGCUGUUACAAUUAUAAAGUUAGUUUUCUCAUUUAUUUUUUGGCUUAAUUACUUCAACUUUAUUCAAAGGAGCUGAAAACAUAUUUUAUGAAACUUACUAUGGUGAACAUAUUGUUGAGUGUAUCUUGCCUUAUAUCACUUUGUGUUGUAUGAAAUGAGUCGGGUGAUUUGGAUGAUCAUCAUAAAGGAGAUCUAAGUUCUGGAACAUUCUAAUUCUCUGGAGGAACUGAUAUCAUAUUCCUUAUUUUAAAAAAAAAAGACAAAGAAAGAAAAAAGGUAGUCAUUUAGCCCAGUGAUUUCCAGAACCAACUGAACAUUAGAUUCACUUGGGUAGCUUAGAAAAAGCACAGAUAUUUUCGGUUCCCUCUUGGAAAUGGCUGAGUAAGUCUGGGGGGAACCCUAGGAAUCUCAUUAUUUUAUUUUAUUUUAUUUUAUUUUUUGAAUCUCAUUAUUUUAAAAGAUUUUGAGGCACACUCAGGUUGGGAACCACUAACUGUACUGCUCUGGUUUUCGUUUUCCUGACCUAUAAGAAAUGCUGAGCAAAAUUAGCUCUUCAACUUUAAUAAACAUCACCCUUAGGUCAUAUGAGAACAUCCACACAGGGACUCUGAAGAACAAUAACUGAAGCCCUUUCUCCUCUUUGUUCUACCACUUUCCCAACAACAAGAAGUUCAGGGUUAUGAUGUGUGAGCUUCCAUCACCUGUCGGCUGCAGGUUUCAGCAGCUGUUACCAAAGCAGGUUGCCUGUUCCUCACGAGGUCUGUAAAGACCUGACAGCUGACAGUCAUAGUAUGUACAAGUUAUCAUGGCCAUUAAGGUUUGGGCUCCAUAAGUAGAGAAACCAUUGAUACACCAUUUUCCCCAUGCCAGGCCCCAUACUUAAAAAUCCUUUACAUUUUCUGUGUAAUCUUUUCAAUAAGAUGCGAAGUAGGCUGGCAUGCAAAUAGCUAUCCACACUUGGUAGGUAAGAACCAGUAAUUUCUCUCUGUUGGUAAGAAAUGAUGGGUAAAUGUAGGUGGAUGACCACCUACUUUGCACACUGUUGAAAAGAUUAUAUGAAAAAAUGUGAGUACACUUUUUUUAUAUGAAAGCUGUGAGUACAGUAUGCUUGGGUGUGCAAUUCUAGUUAUAAUACGCAUUAAGACUGUACACAUUUUCUUGCUGCUACAGCACAAACCACCACAAAAUUAAGGAAUUAGAACAAUCUCCAUUUAUUACUUCAGUUCUGUCGGGCAGAAAUCUGACCAGGGCUCACCUGGGUUCUCUGCUCAGUGUCAAACAAGGUGGAAAUCAACAUGUCAUUUAGGGCUGAUUUCUC
rnacentral:lncRNA from 1 species